rnacentral:rRNA from 1 species
UGAGGAAUAUUGGUCAAUGGGCGAGAGCCUGAACCAGCCAAGUAGCGUGAAGGAUGACUGCCCUAUGGGUUGUAAACUUCUUUUAUAAAGGAAUAAAGUCGGGUAUGGAUACCCGUUUGCAUGUACUUUAUGAAUAAGCAUCGGCUAACUCCGUGCCAGCAGCCGCGGUAAUACGGAGGAUGCGAGCGUUAUCCGGAUUUAUUGGGUUUAAAGGGAGCGUAGACGGGCCGUUAAGUCAGCUGUGAAAGUUUGAGGCUCAACCUUAAAAUUGCAGUUGAUACUGGCGUCCUUGAGUACGGUUGAGGCAGGCGGAAUUCGUGGUGUAGCGGUGAAAUGCUUAGAUAUCACGAAGAACCCCGAUUGCGAAGGCAGCCUGCUAAACCGCCACUGACGUUGAGGCUCGAAAGUGUGGGUAUCAAACAGGAUUAGAUACCCUGGUAGUCCACACGGUAAACGAUGGAUACUCGCUGUUGGCGAUAGACUGUCAGCGGCUUAGCGAAAGCGUUAAGUAUCCCACCUGGGGAGUACGCCGGCAACGGUGAAACUCAAAGGAAUUGACGGGGGCCCGCACAAGCGGAGGAACAUGUGGUUUAAUUCGAUGAUACGCGAGGAACCUUACCCGGGCUUGAAUUGCAGACGAAUUGCUUGGAAACAGGCAAGCCGCAAGGCGUCUGUGAAGGUGCUGCAUGGUUGUCGUCAGCUCGUGCCGUGAGGUGUCGGCUUAAGUGCCAUAACGAGCGCAACCCUCGUGUCCAGUUACUAGCAGGUUAUGCUGAGGACUCUGGACAGACUGCCAUCGUAAGAUGUGAGGAAGGUGGGGAUGACGUCAAAUCAGCACGGCCCUUACGUCCGGGGCUACACACGUGUUACAAUGGGGGGUACAGCAGGCAGCUACCGGGCGACCGGAUGCCAAUCCCGAAAGCCUCUCUCAGUUCGGACUGGAGUCUGCAACCCGACUCCACGAAGCUGGAUUCGCUAGUAAUCGCGCAUCAGCCACGGCGCGGUGAAUACGUUCCC